UUUUUUUUUUUCCAAUUUGCACACACGCCAGCUCAGUCUUUGGAUGUACAGUUCCUCCGUGGUUCUAAACCAAUGGGCAGUAUCCUGGCUACUGCUCCAGCCCCUCCUGAGGCAACUCCUUCAUCUUCCAAGUCUCCAGGGUGGCCCCUAUGCACCCGGCCUGUCCCUGAUCCCUCAGCCCCCGGCCACCCAGACUGCUUGUCAGUCCCUAUGGUUUGGCCUUUUCCAGAAUGGCCCAGGAAUGGGAAUCCUACGUGAUAGCUUAUUGGGUCUGGCUUCUUUCCCUUAGCAAAAAUGCAUCUAGGAUCCACCCACGUUAGAUGCGGGCAUCACUGGCUCCUUCCCUUUUCUCACUGAGUCUUCCAUUUGGAGAGAGAACCAGCCUUGCUCUCCCCAUUCCCAUGUUGAAGACUGUCCCCGAAGGCUCCUUGUGUGAGUGACGAGGAAUCAAGCAGUGGACGUGGCAUGCAGGUUUCAUGUGGACAUCAGUUUUCAAAUCAGUGGGUUCAAUAUUUCUGAUACUUUGGGGACACGUGGUUCAAGUCCAUUGAGCUUUGUGAGUCGCUGCCAAACUGGCUGCCAAAGUGGCUGUGCCAUGUCAUGUUCCCAGCAGACAAGGAUGACAGUUUCCAGGACCCCUAGUUGCCCCAGCAUUUGGUGCUGUCAGUGUUGCCUGGAGAGGCUCAUGGGCCCUCCAUCCUGCCACCCUCCCAUGGGUCCUACCAUGGGUCCCCGUGGGUCAGGGAGAGCACCUUUCACCAUUGUGCAUGAUUUUGUUUGCUGACUUCUGUCUCCACAGGGUCCUCCUCGUUUCUGGCCCCACAUGCUCCAGUCUGGCCCAGGGCUUGGAACCAGGUGCUCAGUUCAUGGUGCCAGCUGCUCCCUGGGUCAGGGGAGGUCUUGGCAGCUCUGUCAUCCCUCCUGGGUGACCCUGGCCUCUUCUCCGGGGAAGCCCCCAUCCCUUACGUUCACUCCAUGUCUGCUGAGACCCUGUGGUUCCCAUAGGCUUACUUGGCUCCGUAGCGAUCCCUGAAGAAGAUGUGAGUCCUUAAUGUCCUGCUCACAUCCACAUCGAUCUGGUGGAUGUGUUUAGAUGACCUCUUGCCCUUCUCCUUCAUGACCUGUAGGGCAGGGCCAACAGGAGGAAGCAGCCUCAGAACAGAUGGAAGACUCCCUGCCCCAAAUGGCAGUCGGCCCACAGUCAGCACUCCGGAAGGAAGGGAAGCAGGAAGGUUUCCUUGUGCACAAAGCUGCUUUUUGGCUUGUUACUGAAGCUGGAGAGGGUCACCAGAGCCGAGUUUGUCUGUGGUGACUAUGUCACCGUUCGUGCCCAGGAUGUGCAUCUAACCAUCCCACCCACCCCCCAGGCUGGGCUUAAUGCUCCCUCCAGCUGGAGACCUGGGCUCCUGACACGGCCUGUCCUGUUUGUUGUGCUCUGGCUGAGCGUACCUUGUAUGUUCUGGGGUUUUUCCACUUGACUUCCUGUAUGUUCAGCAGGACCGACCACACUUGGCCCCUGAAGUUCAUGGGAAUGCCCUUAUAUACUCGAUCUAUCAGCUGUGGGCAGAAAACAACCUGGUGUCACAGGCCACGGGGCGACCCCAGUGAGGAGCAGAGCCC
rnacentral:lncRNA from 1 species